AAGAUAUUAACUUGCAACAUAUGUGCUACGACUUGCAGCAAUGUGCUUGCGUAUGUUAGACACAUGCAAAGUCAUAGUUUUAUGCCCAAUGCAUCGUUUAAGUGUGCUUUCCCUGAAUGAGUAUAUCUGUAUUUGAGGAAAAAAAGCUAUGAACCAUAAUGCUCAGUCUACCCUUCCUGUGGAUGAAGAUGAGGAGUUGACUCUUCAUAUCAUCCAGCUGUUGAUGGUCUAUUUUGAUGAAAGAAGAGGUGCACUGAUAUUCCUUGUAGAUAUGUCUGCCACUGCAGGCGAUGUGGACCCUCCCGACCAGUCCACGACUGAUACUGCUAGUUGCUGGUGACAAAGUCACAGUAAAACGUUGAUGAUCAGCAUGGAAGGUGAUGUCAUCCGCGAAGUCGUCCAACCUAGCUUCAUCGAAGGGCUUGCUGCCCUUCUUGCCACCUACUACUGUAUGUGUUCAACUUGGAAUACCAAGAGGAAGGUGCUCGGACAUUGGAAUUUGUUCAAAGGCGAUUCAUUGGCAUUAACCCUGAGAGGGGAACAAAGGCUAGUCAGGGAAAGGUGGUGUCCAAGAAGACCGGGAAGCUGGUCCAGAAAAAGGCAGCAACUGUAAAUCCUCACGUAGCCACCCUUAUAAAAAUUCUCACAGACUUUGGUGGGGCUUUAUGUUGCCCGACCACUGAACACUGGGUAUGUCAUGUUCAGUUAGUUUAGUCAAUUGUGCAGUUCAGUUUUGUUUUACAAAUUUUUCUAUUGCACAUGAUCCCAACUUGUUUUGUUGUAAAUGUUAAAAAUGUUCUUUGAAAAUGUGUGUGCCCUCUCUGAUGGUAAAGCAGAGCCACUAUGUAUGGAGUUGUGUGUGGGGGGCAUGUAUACAUCAUAUCCAAAUGGACAUUUUCAUUUUGAUCGUUUUGAUUGUUAUCUGGAUGUAGGAACCACGUUCUCUGAUGCCAUCGUUUGUUCCGAUUGCAGGAGUUGCUUAACAUUGUUUUAAAUGUUAAAAUGUUAAUCUAAAAUGUGUGUCCUCUCUCGGAUCGUCCAACAGAGGCACUAUGUUUGGGGGUGGGUGUGUCCUGGUGGGAGGAUGUCUAAAUGGACAUUUUAAUUUUGAUUAUCUAGUUCUAUGGACUGUUCUGAUGCUAAAGUUGCUUAACAUUGUUCUAAAUGUUAAAAUGCUUCACUGAAAAAAAGAAGAAUGCACUAAAUGUACAUUGAAUGUGUUUGAUGCGCUUAAAAAUAAUUGGUUGGUUAAAGCAUAAACUUGCAAGGCCAUUUCUCCAGUCAUUUUUAUGCCAGCAGAUUGCAGGGGUUUUGAUUUUGAAAAAUUAAAAGUUCAACUCAUUAACUUCUUGUGGCAUUUUACUGUAAAGCUCAGUCUAUAGUGCUUAAGAUUAUUUUACUGUAAUUAACUGUCAUGCAUUUUACAGUAGAUACACUAAAAUAACAGUGUAAGGCCGCUAAACAGAUGACAGUAUUAUGCUGUGAAGCGUAUAUUUAAUACAGCACAGUACUGUGAUACCUUUUACAGUAAUAUACUGUAGUGAUAAAUCACAGUAUGUGUGCUGUAGAAAAACAGUUUUAUACUGGAACCAUUAGCUGCCAGUAGGUUACUGUAAUUAAACGGUGAAAUUUCUUACAGUGCAGUCUGUUGUGGCCAAUACCCUGUACUUUGUUGUUGGGGGAGCGGGCUUCACAGUGGCAGAGGGGUUAGUGCGUCUGCCUCACAAUACGAAGGUCCUGAGUAGUCUCGGGAUCUUUCUGUGUGGAGUUUGCAUGUUCUCCCCGUGAAUGCUUGGGUUCCCUCCGGGUACUCCGGCUUCCUCCCACUUCCAAAGAGAUGCACCUGGGGAUAGGUUGAUUGGCAACACUAAAUUGGCUCUAGUGUGUAAAUGUGAGUGUGACUGUUGUCUGUCUAUCUGUGUAGGCCCUGCGAUGAGGUGGCGACUUGUCCAGGGUGUACAUCACCUUCCGCCCGAUUUUAGCUGAGAUAGGCAUCAGCGCCCGCCGUGACCCCAAUGGGAAUAAGCGGUACAAAAUGGAUGGAUGUAUGUUGGGGGAGCAGCACCAGCAAAAGGGACUUA